AGCAGCAGAGUGACUUGCCUGCCAUCGCACAUCGGCAGAACCGGGAUGGACAGUCAGACCUGUGUGACACCAGAGCCCUCGAAUUUUCCGGUCAUUGCUCCCGACCUUGUUUGUCGGUUUGCUUUUUCACACAGAGCCGUUUUGAUCAAGUUCAGAGCAGCUCAGAACUUCCUCUCCCAAGCGAAACGGUCCAGAUAGACCCCAGGCCAAUUCUACUCAACAAGCCAGGGCCAGCGGUCCUGUUUACAGCAGAAUCACCCAGGUCUGGGCUCCCCGCCAGCCCGGCCCAGGCCGCACCUCCUGGCCCGGCCCCACGGAGGAGAAAAGAAAGUGCACAGCAGGGGACACAACCUGUGGUCACACGACUCGGGUUCUCUGGAGUCUAACUUUGCUUCUGUUUCUGUAGCUUGAAUAAAAUACUUCACCCUU